rnacentral:lncRNA from 1 species
GGGAAACAUAAUUAUGGAGAUUUAAAAAUUGUGAGGUAUGUCUUUGAAAAAUGGAGGUUAGCAGCGGCUGCAAACCCUAUAGCCACAGAACCAGACGAAGAGAAAGUUUUGAAAUUUGAGAAGAUAAUUAAAAUAAGUUUAUCGCUUCCAACAAUCCUUUGAACCCUCCCCGUGUCACUCAAUGAACAGAGAGGUACAGUAAGAGCCAGAUCUUAAGGAAGAAGGACAAGAUCUUCUUGUUAAUCAGAACCCUAAAUCGUAGCUUAACUCUAGAAAUAAUAAGAGCUU